UUAGAAAAGGUUGAUGAAGUAAGUUUAGAAGAAUUCGGUGAAUUCAUGGAAGCCAAAUAGACAUUGGAGAGACUAAGGAAAAAAUUUGACUCUUUGGAUUUAUUGAGUCAUUCGUUCAAGCCUCCUAAACCUUUUACAGAGGAACCUCCUACAUUGGAGUUGAAACCUCUGCUACAACAUUUAAAACAUGAAUACUUGGGAGAUAACAACACCUUGUCGGUUGUGAU
rnacentral:lncRNA from 1 species